UGGGGAAUCUUGGACAAUGGGGGCAACCCUGGUCCAGCGACGCCGCGUGGGUGGUAAGGCCUUCGGGUUGUAAAGCCCUUUCACCGGGGAAGAUGAUGACAUUACCCGGAGAAGAAGCGCCGGCUAACUCCGUGCCAGCAGCCGCGGUAAGACGGAGGGCGCUAGCGUUGUUCGGAAUUACUGGGCGUAAAGGGCGCGUAGGCGGUCUGUUGCGUCAGGUGUGAAAGCCCUGGGCUCAACCCGGGAGGUGCACUUGAUACGGGCGGACUUGAAUCCGAGAGAGGAUGGUGGAAUUCCCAGUGUAGAGGUGAAAUUCGUAGAUAUUGGGAAGAACACCGAUGGCGAAGGCAGCCAUCUGGCUCGGUAUUGACGCUGAGGCGCGAAAGCGUGGGGAGCAAACAGGAUUAGAUACCCGCGUAGUCC
rnacentral:rRNA from 1 species